GACGAACGCUGGCGGCGUGCUUAACACAUGCAAGUCGAACGAAGAGCGAUGGAAGCUUGCUUCUAUCAAUCUUAGUGGCGAACGGGUGAGUAACGCGUAAUCAACCUGCCCUUCAGAGGGGGACAACAGUUGGAAACGACUGCUAAUACCGCAUACGAUCUAAUCUCGGCAUCGAGGAUGGAUGAAAGGUGGCCUCUAUUUAUAAGCUAUCGCUGAAGGAGGGGAUUGCGUCUGAUUAGCUAGUUGGAGGGGUAACGGCCCACCAAGGCGAUGAUCAGUAGCCGGUCUGAGAGGAUGAACGGCCACAUUGGGACUGAGACACGGCCCAGACUCCUACGGGAGGCAGCAGUGGGGAAUCUUCCGCAAUGGACGAAAGUCUGACGGAGCAACGCCGCGUGAGUGAUGACGGCCUUCGGGUUGUAAAGCUCUGUUAAUCGGGACGAAAGGCCUUCUUGCGAAUAGUUAGAAGGAUUGACGGACCGAAUAGAAGCCAC
rnacentral:rRNA from 1 species